GGAUGUGAGGGCCAUCUGGAUGUGACAUCUGUCACCCCAGUGAUUGCCAGGGUUGACUGGAUGAUUAGGGUGGCUAGGUGGGUGUCCCCUUCCUCCCUCACCGGUCCAGGUGCAUCUCUCCUGGACUGAAGUUUACUUUGCGGACA
rnacentral:snRNA from 1 species